rnacentral:rRNA from 1 species
CCGCCGCCGUAAUACAUGCAAGUCGAGCGAGGGGAGUUCUUCGGAACAAACCUAGCGGCGGACGGGUGAGUAACACGUGGGCAACCUGCCUCAUAGAGGGGAAUAGCCUUCCGAAAGGGAGAUUAAUACCCCAUAAGAUUGUAGUUUCGCAUGAAGCAGCAAUUAAAGGAGCAAUCCGCUAUGAGAUGGGCCCGCGGCGCAUUAGCUAGUUGGUGAGGUAACGGCUCACCAAGGCGACGAUGAGUAGCCGACCUGAGAGGGUGAUCGGCCACAUUGGGACUGAGACACGGCCCAGACUCCUACGGGAGGCAGCAGUGGGGAAUAUUGCACAAUGGGGAAACCCUGAUGCAGCAACGCCGCGUGAGUGAUGAAGGCCUUCGGGUUGUAAAGCUCUGUCUUCAGGGACGAUAAUGACGGUACCUGAGGAGGAAGCCACGGCUAACUACGUGCCAGCCGCCGCGGUAAUAC